rnacentral:rRNA from 1 species
GGGCCCGCACAAGCAGUGGAGCAUGUGGUUUAAUUCGAUGCAACGCGAAGAACCUUACCAGGCCUUGACAUCCCCGGAACUUUCUAGAGAUAGAUUGGUGCCUUCGGGAACCGGGUGACAGGUGCUGCAUGGCUGUCGUCAGCUCGUGUCGUGAGGUGUCAGGUUAAGUCCUAUAACGAGCGCAACCCCUACCGUUAGUUGCCAGCGUGUAAUGACGGGGACUCUAACGGAACUGCCGGUGACAAACCGGAGGAAGGUGGGGACGACGUCAAGUCAUCAUGGCCCUUACGGCCUGGGCUACACACGUGCUACAAUGGCUAGGACAGACGGCUGCAAACCAGCGAUGGGGAGCUAA